CACCAUUGGAGUUCUUAGCAUUAUUUUAGUAAUUUUUUUUUGUUUGAAUAGUUAAGAAUUCUAAUAAAAAAUGUUUGUCCAAUGGUAUAUCUAAUUAGGAGUCCUUAGAUAUAAUCUUGUUCCAUGUUUCCUUCACCUGAAAGAGAUUUACAAGAUAGAAAUUAGACAUCAAAAGUAAUCAACUUGUUCUCCUAUACAAUCGAACUUGUUCUCCUAUACAUUCACAACAUUAAAGAAUAUGACUUAUAAACAAUCUGAAAAGAAUCUGAAACCGUAAAGAAUUCACAACAUUAAAUAAUUCACAGAGCACACAGUAGUAAUACUAAUCUAUGAGAAGAAAAUAGUACUUCUGGGUAAACAAUCUGAAGAACACAACACUCCAAUCGUAAUGAAUCACAGAGUCAAAAUCUUAACAACACAACACAACACAACCCUCUUUGAACUACAAACAAAAAUCGUUUUCAAACACUAACUACAAACGAAGACUUUCCCAAAUCAAUUCAAACACAAAUCGUUUUGAAACCUUAAUAGAUUGACUCUUUCAAAAUAAGAGAAGAAGAUAAUCCCAAAUCGCAUGAAACCAAGAUCGUUUUCAAACAUUAAUGUACCUAUGUCCACAAAUUUUCAAACUAAGCAGGUUUAAGAAUCAUGGUUAGAGUUUAAAAAGAAUUACUAAUCAGAUUUAAGAAUCAUGGUUAUAGUUAAAAAAAAUUACUAAUCAGGUUUAAGAAUCAUGGUUAGAGUUAAAAAAAAUUACUAAUCAAGUUUAAGAAUCAUGGUUAGAGUUAAAAAUAAAAUUACUAAUCAGGUUUAAGAAUCAUGGUUAGAGUUAAAA
rnacentral:lncRNA from 1 species